CAGUAGGGAAUCUUCCACAAUGGACGAAAGUCUGAUGGAGCAACGCCGCGUGAGUGAAGAAGGGUUUCGGCUCGUAAAACUCUGUUGUUAAAGAAGAACAUAUCUGAGAGUAACUGUUCAGGUAUUGACGGUAUUUAACCAGAAAGCCACGGCUAACUACGUGCCAGCAGCCGCGGUAAUACGUAGGUGGCAAGCGUUGUCCGGAUUUAUUGGGCGUAAAGCGAGCGCAGGCGGUUUUUUAAGUCUGAUGUGAAAGCCUUCGGCUCAACCGAAGAAGUGCAUCGGAAACUGGGAAACUUGAGUGCAGAAGAGGACAGUGGAACUCCAUGUGUAGCGGUGAAAUGCGUAGAUAUAUGGAAGAACACCAGUGGCGAAGGCGGCUGUCUGGUCUGUAACUGACGCUGAGGCUCGAAAGUAUGGGUAGCAAACAGGAUUAGAUACCCUGGUAGUCCAUACCGUAAACGAUGAAUGCUAAGUGUUGGAGGGUUUCCGCCCUUCAGUGCUGCAGCUAACGCAUUAAGCAUCCGC
rnacentral:rRNA from 1 species